AGGGCACCACCAGGAGUGGAGCCUGCGGCUUAAUUUGACUCAACACGGGAAAUCUCACCAGGCCCGGACACCGGAAGGAUUGACAGAUUGAGAGCUCUUUCUUGAUUCGGUGGGUGGUGGUGCAUGGCCGUUCUUAGUUGGUGGAGCGAUUUGCCUGGUUAAUUCCGAUAACGAGCGAGACUCUGGCCUACUAACUAGACGUUAGAUCCCUUUGUGGGUCUAUCGCAGCUUCUUAGAGGGACGGGCGGCGUUUAGCCGCACGAGAUUGAGCAAUAACAGGUCUGUGAUGCCCUUAGAUGUUCUGGGCUGCACGCGCGCUACACUGAAGGAAUCAGCGUGUGUUCCCUGUCCGAAAGGACUGGGAAACCCGUUGAACCUCCUUCGUGAUGGGGAUUGGGGAUUGCAAUUAUUCCCCAUGAACGAGGAAUUCCCAGUAGGCGCGAGUCAUAAGCUUGCGUCGAUUACGUCCCUGCCCUUUGUACACACCGCCCGUCGCUACUACCGAUCGAGUGAUUUAGU
rnacentral:rRNA from 1 species